AAAUGGAGAUCUGGUUCCUGGAUUAGGACUUCUCAUGUGACUUCUCAUUGGAGGAUUCAGGUGCUACAUCCAGGGUCAGGAGCUGAUAAGGAGAAAAACCCAAGAAAACAAUCAACUGUAAACUGACUCAAAAUUAUCCAUCAUACAUCAUGGCGGCACGGUGGCGUGGUGGGUGGCGCUGUCACCUCACAGCAAGGAGGGUCUGGGUUCGAUUCCCCGACCGGGUA